rnacentral:rRNA from 1 species
AAACUAACAAGGAUUCCCCUAGUAACUGCGAGUGAAGCGGGAAAAGCUCAAAUUUGAAAUCUGGCUGUUGUAUGACAGUCCGAAUUGUAAUUUAAAGAAGUGUUACCCGCUCUGGACCAUGCAUAAGUCUUCUGGAAAGAAGCAUCAUAGAGGGUGAUAAUCCCGUCUUUGGUAUGGAUCCCCAGAGCAUUGUGGUGCACUCUCAAUGAGUCGAGUUGUUUGGGAAUGCAGCUCAAAAUGGGUGGUAAAUUCCAUCUAAAGCUAAAUAUUGGCGUGAGACCGAUAGCGAACAAGUACCGUGAGGGAAAGAUGAAAAGAACUUUGGAAAGAGAGUUAAACAGUACGUGAAAUUGCCAAUAGGGAAACACUUGAAGUCAGUCGCGUUGCUCGAAGAUCAGCCUUGCCUUGGCUUGGUGUACUUUUUGAGUGAUGGGUCAACAUCAGUUUUGGUUGCUGGAGAAAGGUUGGAGGAAUGUGGCUCCCUCGGGAGUGUUAUAGCCUCUGGUCAUAUACAGUGAUUGGGAUUGAGGAACUCAGCACGCUCUGUUGUGCUUAGGAUGUUGGCAUAAUGGCUUUAAGUGAC